rnacentral:rRNA from 1 species
GAUGAACGCUAGCUACAGGCUUAACACAUGCAAGUCGAGGGGCAGCAUGGUCUUAGCUUGCUAAGGCCGAUGGCGACCGGCGCACGGGUGAGUAACACGUAUCCAACCUGCCGUCUACUCUUGGACAGCCUUCUGAAAGGAAGAUUAAUACAAGAUGGCAUCAUGAGUCCGCAUGUUCACAUGAUUAAAGGUAUUCCGGUAGACGAUGGGGAUGCGUUCCAUUAGAUAGUAGGCGGGGUAACGGCCCACCUAGUCUUCGAUGGAUAGGGGUUCUGAGAGGAAGGUCCCCCACAUUGGAACUGAGACACGGUCCAAACUCCUACGGGAGCAGCAGUGAGGAAUAUUGGUCAAUGGGCGAGAGCCUGAACCAGCCAAGUAGCGUGAAGGNUGACUGCCCUAUGGGUU